rnacentral:rRNA from 1 species
UACGUAGGCAGCAAGCGUUGUUCGGAAUCACUGGGCAUAAAGAGCACGUAGGCGGUUAAGCAAGUCCAUUGUGAAAUCCCCCGGCCUAACCGGGGAACUGCAUUGGAUACUACUUGACUUGAGUGCAGGAGGGGAGAGUGGAAUUCCUGGUGUAGCGGUGAAAUGCGCAGAUAUCAGGAAGAACACCAAUGCGAAAGCAGCUCUCUGGGACGGUACUGACGCUGAGACGCGAAAGCGUGGGAGCGAACAGG